rnacentral:lncRNA from 1 species
UGAAGGCAGGGUAAAGUGACUAGGCAUCAGGAUAGAUAGUAACAAGGUAUUUGAGGUAGAUAUGAACAUGAAGGCAGGGUAAAGUGACUAGGCAUCAGGAUAGAUAAUAAUAAGGUAUUUGAGGUAGAUAUGAACAUGAAGGCAGGGUAAAGUGACUAGGCAUCAGGAUAGAUAGUAAUAACAGUAAAAUAAAGAACAGAGUAGCAGCAGCAUAUGAUGAGUGUUAAAGAGUGUGUCAGUUUGCGUGUGUUAUGUCUGUGUGUGUGUAUAGUGUAUGUGAAUGUGUAUAGGAUCAGUGCAAGAUAGAGUCGUUGCAGAUUGUUUGGAUACCAUUAAUUGACUAUUUAGCAGUCUGGCUAUUCUUUCUUUUGCUAUUCCCGAUGCUGUGGUGUUUUGGUUGUUUCCAGUGAUGCUAUUAGUAUAUCAGAGGUUGCACUGAGUUGCUUGUUGUUUUUCCUU